rnacentral:rRNA from 1 species
UACGAAGGGGGCUAGCGUUGCUCGGAAUCACUGGGCGUAAAGGGUGCGUAGGCGGGUUUUUAAGUUCAGAGGUGAAAUCCUAGGAGCUCAACUCCAGAACCUGCCUUCCCAGACUGCUUUGCUUGAGGCCGGGAGAGGUGAGUGGAAUUCCCAGUGUAGCGGUGAAAUGCGUAGAUAUUGGGAGGAACACCAGUGGCGAAGGCGGCUCACUGGACCGGUUCUGACGCUGAGGCGCGAAAGCGUGGGGAGCAAACGGG